UACAGAGGUCCCAAGCGUUGUUCGGAUUCAUUGGGCGUAAAGGGUGCGUAGGCGGCGCGGUAAGUCGGGUGUGAAAUCUCGGGGCUUAACUCCGAAACUGCAUUCGAUACUGCCGUGCUUGAGGACUGGAGAGGAGACUGGAAUUUACGGUGUAGCGGUGAAAUGCGUAGAUAUCGUAAGGAAGACCAGUGGCGAAGGCGGGUCUCUGGGCAGUUCCUGACGCUGAGGCGCGAAGGCCAGGGGAGCAAACGGG
rnacentral:rRNA from 1 species